GACGAACGCUGGCGGCGUGCUUAACACAUGCAAGUCGAACGGAAAGGCCCUGCUUUUGUGGGGUGCUCGAGUGGCGAACGGGUGAGUAACACGUGAGUAACCUGCCCUUGACUUUGGGAUAACUCCAGGAAACUGGGGCUAAUACCGGAUAGGAGCUCCUGCUGCAUGGGGGGGGUUGGAAAGUUUCGGCGGUUGGGGAUGGACUCGCGGCUUAUCAGCUUGUUGGGGGGGUAGUGGCUUACCAAGGCUUUGACGGGUAGCCGGCCUGGGAGGGUGACCGGCCACAUUGGGCCUGCGAGACGGCCCAGUCUCCUAUGGGAGGCAGUAGUGGGGAUUCUUGCACAAUGGGCGGAAGCCUGAUGCAGCAGCGCCGCGUGCGGGAUGACGUCCUUCGGGUUAUGAACCGCUUUCGCCUGUGACGAAGCGUGAGUGACGGUAAUGGGUAAAGAAGCACCGGCUAACUACGUG
rnacentral:rRNA from 1 species